UUAACUAUUUUAAUAGUACUCAGACAAUAAUAUUACAGAGUUUUAGGUCCUUUAGCAGGCACUGACCAGCCGGAGCCAGCGGCCCGAAGGCGGGCCUGCUAAAGCAACAAAGGUAUUUGUAAACAAAGGGUGGAGAAUCUAUUAGGGAAGGGCAAGCCCAACACCUAAAGAAAGCUCUAUAAUGAUCCUUCCGCAGGUUCACCUACGGAAA
rnacentral:misc_RNA from 1 species